ACCCUCUAGAGACCUGAGCCCACAGGUCUCAAUCUUGGUCGGAGUGGCUAAAAAAGGAGGAAACAUGAAACUGAAGUGGACUUGGAGUCUACUAUACCAUACACAUUCAUUGCAAACCUUA
rnacentral:snoRNA from 1 species